GACGAAAAAAGGGAUAUCGAACAAAUAUCCCCGAUGACGGUACCGUGAGAAUAAGCCACGGCUAACUCUGUGCCAGCAGCCGCGGUAAGACAGAGGUGGCAAGCGUUGUUCGGAAUUACUGGGCGUAAAGAGUCUGUAGGUGGUUUGUCAAGUCUUUGGUGAAAGGCCGUAGCUUAACUAUGGGAAUGCCAAAGAGACUGGCAGGCUGGAGGCUGGGAGAGGGAAGCGGAAUUUCNGGUGUAGCGGUGAAAUGCGUAGAUAUCAG
rnacentral:rRNA from 1 species